rnacentral:rRNA from 1 species
AUUGAACGCUGGCGGAAUGCUUUACACAUGCAAGUCGAACGGUAGAGGGGGCAACCCCUUGAGAGUGGCGAACGGGUGAGUAAUAUAUCGGAACGUGCCCAGUCGUGGGGAUAACGUAGCGAAAGUUACGCUAAUACCGCAUAUGAUCUAAGGAUGAAAGCGGGGGAUCGCAAGACCUCGCGCGAUUGGAGCGGCCGAUAUCAGAUUAGGUAGUUGGUGAGGUAAAGGCUCACCAAGCCAACGAUCUGUAGCUGGUCUGAGAGGACGACCAGCCACACUGGAACUGAGACACGGUCCAGACUCCUACGGGAGGCAGCAGUGGGGAAUUUUGGACAAUGGACGCAAGUCUGAUCCAGCCAUUCCGCGUGCAGGAUGAAGGCCCUCGGGUUGUAAACUGCUUUUGUACGGAACGAAAAGGUUUGUCUUAAUACGAUGAGCUCAUGACGGUACCGUAAGAAUAAGCACCGGCUAACUACGUGCCAGCAGCCGCGGUAAAGU